rnacentral:misc_RNA from 1 species
CGAGCGUCAUUACAACCUUCAAGCACUGCUUGGUAUUGGGCCCCGCUUCUUAUACAGCGGGCCUUAAAAUUAGUGGCGGUGUCAUUAGGCCCUGAGCGUAGUAAAUAUCCUCGCUAUAGGGACUUGGUGAUUACUGGCCAGCAAUCCCCAACUUUCUAAAUGUUGACCUCGGAUCAGGUAGGAAUACCCGCUGAACUUAA